UACGUAGGGUGCAAGCGUUGUCCGGAAUUACUGGGCGUAAAGGGCGCGUAGGCGGCCUGUUAAGUCGAACGUGAAAUCCCCGGGCUCAACCCGGGAACUGCGUCCGAAACUGGCAGGCUCGAAUUCGGGAGAGGGAUGCGGAAUUCCAGGUGUAGCGGUGAAAUGCGUAGAUAUCUGGAGGAACACCGGCGGCGAAGGCGGCACUCUGGGCCGGUACUGACGCUGAGGAGCGAAAGCGUGGGUAGCAAACAGG
rnacentral:rRNA from 1 species